GGGUCUCUCUUGCUAGACCAGAUCUGAGCCUGGGAGCUCUCUGGUCAGGUAGAGAACCCAC
rnacentral:pre_miRNA from 16 species